rnacentral:rRNA from 1 species
GACGAACGCUGGCGGCGUGCUUAACACAUGCAAGUCGAACGGAAAGGCCCUGCUUUUGUGGGGUGCUCGAGUGGCGAACGGGUGAGUAACACGUGAGUAACCUGCCCUUGACUUUGGGAUAACUUCAGGAAACUGGGGCUAAUACCGUAUAGGAGCUCCUGCUGCAUGGUGGGGGUUGGAAAGUUUCGGCGGUUGGGGAUGGACUCGCGGCUUAUCAGCUUGUUGGUGGGGUAGUGGCUUACCAAGGCUUUGAAGGGUAGCCGGCCUGAGAGGGUGGACGGCCACAUUGGGACUGCGAGACGGCGCAGAGUCGUACGGGAGGCAGCAGUGGGGAAUAUGGCACAAUGAGCGGGAGCCUGAUGCAGAGGCGCCGCGUGCGGGAUGACGGCCUUCGGGUUGUGAACCGCUUUAGCCUGUGACGAAGCGUGAGUGACGGUAAUGGGUAAAGAAGCACCGGCUAACUACGUG